UACGUAGGGUGCGAGCGUUUAAUCGGAAUUACUGGGCGUAAAGGGUGCGCAGGCGGUUAUAUAAGACAGAUGUGAAAUCCCCCGGGCUCAACCUGGGAACUGCGUUUGUGACUGUAUGACUAGAGUACGGUAGAGAGGGGUGGAAUUCCACGUGUAGCGGUGAAAUGCGUAGAGAUGUGGAGGAACACCGAUGGCGAAGGCAGCCUUCUGGGCCAACACUGACGCUCAUGCACGAAAGCGUGGGGAGCAAACAGG
rnacentral:rRNA from 1 species